GAGGAGCCCAAGGACAUGCGCUCAGCUGUCGCAGGUGCGCGUUGCAGGGCCUGGCUCCCGGCUCCCAGCUCUCUGCUCCCCGCUCCCGCCUCCCCUGCUCCUGUGUCAGCCGCCUGCCCCCGCCCUGGGUGCAGCGGGGCUCCUGGGGGAUCGGGGCCUCGGGGUCCCGCGCGGACGCUUCCGGCCCGCGACCCGGCUGACCUGCCCCCUCCUGUCGCCCAGGCCAGAACUGCACGUUCCAGCUGCGGGGCCCCAACGGCACGGUGGAGAGCCCGGGCUUCCCGUCGGGCUACCCCAACUACGCCAACUGCACGUGGACCAUCGCGGCGGAGGAGCAGCACCGGGUCCAGCUCGUGUUCCAGGCCUUCGCGCUGGAGGAGGACUUCGACGUCCUGUCGGUGUUUGACGGGCCGCCGCGGCCGGAGAACCUGCGGACCAGGCUCACAGGCUUCCAGCUGCCGGCCACCAUCGUCAGCGCCGCCGCCACCCUCUCUCUGCGCCUCAUCAGUGACUACGCGGUCAGCGCGCAGGGCUUCCACGCCAGCUACGAAGGUAGGUGCUUCCGGGCCGGGCCGUGGAGGCCUGGCGCAUGAGGUCGCGGCAGCCCCGGGCGCACCCCAGCUGCAGGGACGGGGUGCCCCAGAUGCGGAGCUGCCGCCGGUCCUAACGAGGCUGCUCACUAACCAGUAACUCGGUUACCUAAACCGUCGGUGCCGUGUUCCCAGGAAACUGGAAAUUGAAAUCAGAGCCCCGCUGCCGUAAUUUUUCCUGAGGCCUGGUGACAUCCUCCCUUUCUGUCCCCUAAGUGCAUUUUGUUGUGUUUUUAUUUUUUUUUAAUUCUGUUUUCUCCUGGGCUUUAUUGUAUAAGGUAUCUCUGCUUGGUGCUGGAAGUGAGAGAGAGAGAGCGUAAGUGAAAGAAAUAAAAUCAGUAUCUGAAAAACAUUUCUCCUCGAUAUGGUGACUGCAGAGGCUCGGAGUUAGAUCCUUCCGAGAAGAACGAUCCGUUUUUCCUUAAUAGCACAGAUUAGGGUUUCUUGGUUUGAAUUAUGCAAAUAAUUUCCACUUCUCUCAGCUUGUUUAAAUAUGGUGUUGGCAUUCAAAUUAACACUAAUAUCUUCAGAUUAUAUACUAUUAUUAUUAUGAGCUUUAUUAUAUUAGUUCAGAAGGUGGCACUUCUAGAUCUCUGUCAUUUCCCUAGGAAAUUUACAUCUCAUUAAUAGGUAAUUAUGCUGCUCUUGGCUAAGCCCACACUGCUAUUUUGUGUCGAGAUCAUUAAUAGGCAUAAUUUAAGACCGUUAAUGAUAAUUAAUAACAGUAAUGACAUAACACCCUGGUAGAGCAUGCCAGUUAUUUGAAAGCUUUCUUACCUCCAAGAACUUAAAGGAUAAGUGAUGCUCUUUUGAAUGGAGCUGUGGCAGUAUGGAAACAGGACCUCUGUCCUGGCGAGACAGCAAGUCCUCCUUCCUUGGCAAUCCACCCCUGGUAGUCGGGGGGUAGGGGACAGAGUUGGACGCUUUAACCUGAGCGUUUCAGGACUCCUGAGAGGUCUCAGUUAUUUUUAACUAAAGGUUCCUGAGAAGUUUCCAGAGAAAAUUCUGCAUGCCUUCCACUGAGGGCUCCUGACAUAACCACAGUCACCUUCACCUGAGGGCUCCUGACAUAACCACGGGUCCCCUUCAGCUGAGGGCUCCUGACAUAACCACGGGUCCCCUUCAGCUGAGGGCUCCUGACAUAACCACGGGUCCCCUUCAGCUGAGGGCUCCUGACAUAACCACGGGUCCCCUUCAGCUGAGGGCUCCUGACAUAACCACGGGUCCCCUUCACCUGAGGGCUCCUGACAUAACCACGGUCACCUUCAGCUGAGGCCUCCUGACAUAGCCACGGGUUGCCUUCACCUGAGGGCUCCUGACAUAACCACGGUCACAUUCAGCUGAGAGCUCCUGACAUAACCACAGUCCCCUUCAGCUGAGGGUUCCUGACGUAACCACAGUCCCCUUCCUUUGAGGGCUCCUGACAUAACCACAGUCGCUUUCCGCUGAGGGCUCCAGAUCCAACCACAGUCACCUUCUGCUGAGGGCUCCAGAUCCAACCAUGGUCACCUUCACCUGAGGGCUCCUGACCUAACCAGGCAUGUACUGCAUCCUUGGAGUCGAGCUCCUGCCACAGAGACCACAUGGCUGCAAAAUCUAAAAUAUUUACUCUGGCCCUUUAUAGAAAAUGUUUGGUGACCAUUUGCCUAGAACUAUGAUAUCCACUGUGGUCACCAUUAGCCACGUGGAAACGCUUAUGUUUAAUGUACUCAAAGUUAAAUGAAAUUUAAAACUCCGUUUUGCAGCCACAUUAGCUUCAUACCCAGUGCUCGGGGGGCACCUGCGGCCACUGUAUUGGACUGUGCAGGCGGAGAGUGCUUCCACCGUGCAGGGCGUUGUCUGGGCCCGAGCGUCCAUCCCAUUCACGGGGUCUGCGAUUCAAACAGGUUGUAACAUAGUAGGGCGGGGUGGGGGCUGACGGGUGCCUCCUCCGCCUGCCUGGCUGGAGGACGCGGCCCAGGAGGCUCAGCAUUCUGCCGCAGGACCUGUGCGCCAGACCAAGGGCCUGCCCUUGCCUGCCACGUGUGCUGUCCCUGGUGGCCAGAGGACAAAGCCUGGCAGGCAAGGCCGGCACAGCCUGGACGUGCUACCCCGACACCAAGCCUAACAAGCCCAGGCAGCCCCGCUGACCUGGCCGAGGCCUGGACCAGGGGCCAUGUGUGCCUCCAGGAAGGUGUGACUUGCGGCGACUUCCAG
rnacentral:lncRNA from 1 species